rnacentral:rRNA from 1 species
CCCUUAGAUGUUCUGGGCUGCACGCGUGCUACGCUGAUGCACUCAACGAGUUUACGAGCUUGUCCGAGAGGAUUGGCUAAUCUAUUUAGAAUGCAUCGCGAUGGGGAUAGAUCAUUGCAAUCAUAAAUUCAACGAGGAUUUCCUAGUAAGCGCGAGUCAUCAGCUCGUGCUGAUUACGUCCCUGCCCUUUGUACACACCGCCCGUCGCUCCUAACGAUUGAGUGCUCAGGUGAAUAAUUCGGAUUGCAGUAGCGUUUGGAUCCCGAACGCUGCAGCGGAAAGUUUAGUGAACCUUAUCAAUUAGAGGAAGGAGAAGUCGUAACA